CGUCACAGCAAGAUCAACACUUGGCCCCAGGCUUCCAGGAGCAUUGUGAGGAGGACAGACCCAGCCAGGGGAGGGGACUUCCUGCCACAGGUGCUUGACUGAGACCCAAAGAUUGUCCAGGCUCAAUGUGUAUGUGCAUAGCGGGCAGAUGAAUAAGAAACAACCAUCACGGUGUGAUAGCCCUGGCAGAGCCAGUGUAGAAACUCCAGAAUGCUGAGCCACCAUGAGGUGAGCAGCUUUCCUCUACCAUGUCCUUCCGCCAUGAUGUUCCUGCCUUGGACCCAGCUGACUAUGAACUGAACCCUCUGAAACUUUCUUCCACUAAUGUUCCUGGUUCUCUAGCCUCCUCGUGCCUCCCCAGUUCAUUGGAGGUUUGUCGUAGGAUUGAUCAACUAACUGGCUUCUCAUGGCUCGUUCCUGACUGAGGACCUGGUGCUGAGUGAUGC
rnacentral:lncRNA from 1 species